AUCCAGCUGACGAGUCCCGAAUAGGACGAAACGCGCGUCGAACUGGAU
rnacentral:hammerhead_ribozyme from 1 species